UUAAUUAAGCCCAGCGUCAUGUUUGGACCAGAGCUUCCCGGGUACUCGCUCCACCAUCUCCUUCUGUAACUCAGAAUGUUGAUGACAAAACACAGUCUAACAGGGAAUGCUGAUGACUUGUGGGGAAGCCCAACCCUCAGCAGGAAUAGCUAUUUUUAAAAUGAAUUAUCUUCCCUCACCCAAAUGUUGUUAUUUUCAGUGGAUCUAAACUUAGCCUGCUUUGAUUCCACGAUCAUUUGGCCCAAAUCAUUUGGCUCGUACCCUAGGUUUACUAAAAGAGAGACAUGCGGCUUGCUGUUUGUUAUUUUAAAUUCCUGAUCUAAACACUUGCCUUUUUCAACAGUCAUUGCUGCUCCCUGUCUUCCCAGGACAAUAGAAGCAGAUUGGAUGGGGAUUUUCUUUGGCUGUUGUUUUAUCCAAUCAGCUGGUUGAGCCUCAGAUUCUGUUUUGAAAUACUGAAGUGUGCAAUGAGGAGGACACACAGGUCGGGACGCUUCAGGCAUGUUGGCUUUAAUAAAGUCCAUCCAUAUUUCAGCUGCAUUCAUGAAAGUCUCAUCGAUGUUUCCAAGCCAAUACACCAGUUCUUCUUUUUUUUUCACAGUCAUUUGACACUGCGCUGUGUAAACAAUCACUCCAUCAGGUGUACACAGAAUGGUACAGCCUCGUUUACACAAAGCAUCUCGUCUGAGUAAGUUCACAGAUGUCUGGUCUGAAAUUAAUACUGGCAGUUCCACUGUUCUUCCUUGGAACUGCAGAGGAUUCGGGUCUGAUUGGGGAAUCAGCUGCUUUGUCCCUGAGAAUCCAAAGAUCCGUACAUAUUGUCCAGAUCUUGGGAGGUGGUCAGAAUCAGCGUUGCUCACACAAGUAUAAGCAUAUAUAUAAGUCAGCCAUCAUGUUCACCGGUUUACCGGCUACAUUAACCGGCACCAAAGGCUCUUCAUCAGGGCUCGAGACAGAUUUUAAUGGCAACUGACACUCCCCUCCCAGAUUCCCCUGAUCCUCAGGGCACCCCUAGUAUCCAGCAGGAGGACCCUGCCAUGGGCUGGUGGGUCCCAUCUGCUGUGGUGCUCCUUGUGGGAUCUGGCGCACCGACCUGUAACACUGAAGUCUCAUGUUUCCGACUCUCCCACAGUGGUAGCACCUUACCUCAUUUUCUUGAUUACCCCACAUCACCCGCGCUCUUCCAACUGCGGCUCCCCCUCUCAUCCUUGGUGGGCCGCCUCUCCAGCCUCCUGGUCACCCACUGCCAGGAUGUUGGCUAUGGUUUCUUCUUCGAAGGCUGUAACCCAUUUCCUGGCGCCAUCAUGCAGAGACGGCAUUCUCUGCACCAGCCCCUCCAGACCCAUUGUUGGCCAUACUGCAGAUUCUCUCCUUUGGCCAGCACGGGGUAUUCGGAUGCCUCCUCUACUACCUCUGCUGACACUGGAUGUCCCUUGGAGCUGAGCGUGAUGACACCUUCCAUCUGUCCGUGCUCUUCUACUACUUCACUGCCGGGAUCAAAGGCUUCAGGAAGAGGUAUCUUUUCCUUCAUCCCGGGCUGCUUGGGCUUAGCACCAGCCUGUUGAUGGAGGGGUAGACACCAUGCUUGGAUCUGGCAACUUAGAGUACUGUACCUCUGCCAGGGAUCUUCGGACUCUUUUACUCUCCCUGGUUGCUCCUUCUUCUUCACCUUGCUUCUCGCCCUCGCCGCUGUCCUCUGCGCGCUCAAAUUUUUUUAUGUCACGCAUUACUUUAUUAUGUAAGCCACUAAUACGAUGAGUGUCUUUCCCUGCAAGCUGAACUGCUUUAGCAUUUGUGGCAGGCAGGUCUUCUAGGUCAUCUAACUCUGCCUCUCUCUCCCUGACCUUUCUUAACUCUUCGAUCGGAUAGAUGCUUUUACGUGAUCUACCGGACCUAAGUGAAUUGUCACCUAAAAGUCUAAUCUCCCGCACCACCAUCUGCAGCAUAAAACAGGGGGCUCUGCUUUUGAGGAGGCUCCCUUCUUUCUCUCCUCCUUUUUCCGUUCAAUCUGCUUUUUCACAUAUUCAGCUGUUUUCUCCCUCAAGAGUUGGGCUUGGUCCGUGAAUAGCCUUAGCAUCGCAACCUCACGCUUACACAGUCGCUUGGCAGAUUUAUUUUUUAUUUUAUAAUUUUUUAUUAACCCUUCCAUGUCAACACAUUGCUCAUAGUCAAAUGUUCCAUCGGAUGGCCUGGGUGACGGAGCUUUACCCGUCCGCUUAUUCCAUUUCUCUAUUUUUCAUACAUUAACAAGGCAGCCACGCAUUAAGUACAUCACAGUGGGGGGUCAUGACUGGUGUAGGGGGGCUUGGUGGAAUGGUACCUAAGUCAUGCUAAUGUCAUGACGAGAUCAGUGUAAAAUCGGGCAGGAGUGAGGCAGCAAAAACUUGCCGCUCUACCUGUACAAUAAAAAUGGAUAAAAACACA
ensembl:lncRNA